rnacentral:rRNA from 1 species
GACGAACGCUGGCGGCGUGCUUAACACAUGCAAGUCGAACGGAAAGGCCCUGCUUUUGUGGGGUGCUCGAGUGGCGAACGGGUGAGUAACACGUGAGUAACCUGCCCUUGACUUUGGGAUAACUUCAGGAAACUGGGGCUAAUACCGGAUAGGAGCUCCUGCUGCAUGGUGGGGGUUGGAAAGUUUCGGCGGUUGGGGAUGGACUCGCGGCUUAUCAGCUUGUUGGCGGGGUAGUGGCUUACCAAGGCUUUGACGGGUAGCCGGCGUGAGAGGGUGACCGGCCACGUUGGGACUGAGAUACGGCCCAGACUCCUACGGGAGGCAGCAGUGGGGAAUAUUGCACAAUGGGAGGAAGCCUGAUGCAGAAACGCCGCGUGCGGGAUGACGGCCUUCGGGUUGUAAACCGCUUUCGCCUGUGACGAAGCGUGAGUGACGGUAAUGGAUAAAGAAGCACCGGCUAACUACGUG